rnacentral:misc_RNA from 1 species
AACGCACCUUGCGCUCCUUGGUAUUCCGAGGAGCAUGCCUGUUUGAGUGUCAUGGUAUUCUCAACCCUGCUACAUUUUUUGUAGCUGGGCUUGGACUUGGAGGUAUUGCCGGUGUUCUCUUUUGAACGCGGGCUCCUCUGAAAUGCAUUAGCUGGAAUGUUACCGAGCAUGAUUCAAUGUGACAAUUGUCUACGUUGCUUCAACUUGGUAUUAAUUCUGUUUCAGCUUCUAACCGUCCGCAAGGACAAUAUCUUGAACAUCUGACCUCAAAUCAGGUAGGACUACCCGCUGAGCUUAA